GAUGAGAACGUAGCGAAAUGCGAUACGUAAUGUGAAUUGCAGAAUUCAGUGAAUCAUCGAAUCUUUGAACGCAUAUUGCGCUCUCUGGUAUUCCGGAGAGCAUGCUUGUUUGAGUAUCAGUAAACACCUCAACUUCCAUAUCUUUUUUGAAAUGGGAGUUGGACUUGAGUGAUCCCAACGCUUUUCCUCACCGAAAAGUGGCGGGUUACUUGAAAUGCAGGUGCAGCUGGACUUUUCUCUGAGCUAUAAGCAUAUCUAUUUAGUCUGCCUAAAAAACAGAUUAUUACCUUUGCUGCAGCUAACAUAAAGGAGAUUAGUUCUUGUGCUGACUGAUGCAGGAUUCACAAAGACGGCUUCGGCCGACUUUGUAAACUCGAUCUCAAAUCAAGUAAGACUACCCGCUGAACUUAAGCAUAUCAAUAAGCGGAGGA
rnacentral:misc_RNA from 1 species